AUGAACGCUAGCGACAGGCCUAACACAUGCAAGUCGAGGGCAGCACAAGGAGCAAUCUGAGGUGGCGACCGGCGCACGGGUGAGUAACACGUAUGCAACCUGCCUGUAAGCGGGGAAUAACCCGUUGAAAGACGGACUAAUACUGCAUAAUACUAAAUUACUGCAUGGUAAUUUAUUUAAACAUUUAUGGCUUACAGAUGGGCAUGCGCAUGAUUAGCUAGUUGGAGAGGUAACGGCUCCCCAAGGCAACGAUCAUUAGGGGUUCUGAGAGGAAGGUCCUCCACACUGGUACUGAGACACGGACCAGACUCCUACGGGAGGCAGCAGUGAGGAAUAUUGGUCAAUGGACGAGAGUCUGAACCAGCCAAGUCGCGUGCAGGAAGAAUGUUCCCUAUGGAUUGUAAACUGCUUUUGCAGGGGAAUAAAGUGCAUCACGUGUGAUGUUUUGUAUGUACUCUGCGAAUAAGGAUCGGCUAACUCCGUGCCAGCCGCUGC
rnacentral:rRNA from 1 species